GUUUGUUUCAAGGUGGAAAAUCUCUCCGUGUUCAAACCUGAACAACUCUUCAUUGGGGCUGUGCAGGAUAUAAUCACAGCAACCUAUGCUUUUACAGAUGUUCAGAAAAUAAACGGUGAAAGUCAUUUCAUUUUCAAAUUUCGGCCGGAGCAGGAGCAAAAUUUUCAGUAAUCAAGCACGAAAAGAAUCCUUUGGAAGCAAAUCAAAUCCCUUAUAAAGCAAGAAUAUAUUGAACCUAUUCACAAGACCAUUCAUUCAAGUAACUAAGAAGUUAAAAUGCCGAAGAAAAUCUGCUGCUUACCAUGCACACUCCCGUGUGGACCCUGCGGCCCCUGUGGACCUUGCUGUGAUCCGUGUUGUCCGCCAGUGUGUGGCCCAUACCAACCGUGCUUUGGUACAUGCUCGCAGAUAGGGUGUGCGCCAUGUGGACCGUGCGGUCCGUGCGGACCAUAUGGACCAUGUUUACCAUGUGGACCUUGGGCGCCAUUGCCACCGUGUGUUCCAUGUGGACCUUGUAGCCCUUGCGGGCCUUGCGAGCCUUGUGGUCCGUGCGGACCUUACGGACCUUGCGGACCUUGCGGACCUUGCGGACUAUGUGGACCAUGUGGGCUUUGUAGAGAUUCAAACAACGCAUGUUAAAUGAAUAGUUCCAGAAUAUUUUUAAUUCAGAAAUAAAUGCUCUUCCAAAGUUGAAUUCUAA